UCAAGCUACUAAGGGCAUACGGCGAAUGCCUUGGCACUAAGAGCCGAUGAAGGACGUGGUAAGCUGCGAAAAGCUACGGGGAGCCGCAAGCAGGCUUUGAUCCGUAGAUGUCCGAAUGGGGAAACCCACCAUCCGUCAUGGGAUGGUAUCCUUCGGGAGGGGAACCCGGUGAACUGAAACAUCUAAGUAGCCGGAGGAAGAGAAAUCAAACGAGAUGCCCACAGUAGCGGCGAGCGAAGAGGGCAGAGGGCAAACCGAGGAGCUACGGCUCUUCGGGGUUGAGGACUGCAUUUAGUCUUAAUGGUCUAUCCGAACUACCUGGAAAGGUAGGCAACACAGUGUAAAAGCCACGUAGGUUAAAGACCAGAGAGAUGAGCAGUAUCCAGAGUACCACGAGGCACGAGGAAUCUUGUGGGAAGCCGGGGGGACCACCCUCCAACCCUAAACACUGAAUGGCGACCGAUAGCGCAUAGUACCGUGAGGGAAAGGUGAAAAGAACCCCGGGAGGGGAGUGAAAGAGAACCUGAAACCGUAUGUCUACAAGCAGUCGGAGCGAAAGCGACGGCGUGCCUAUUGAAGAAUGAACCAACGAGUUACGUGCACUAGCGAGGUUAAGUGGAAGACACGGAGCCGAAGCGAAAGCGAGUCUUAAGAGGGCGGAUAGUUAGUGUACGUAGACCCGAAACCGCAGUGAUCUACCCAUGUCCAGGUUGAAGCGCAGGUAAAAUUGCGUGGAGGACCGAACCUGUGAGCGUUGAAAAGCUUUAGGAUGAGAUGUGGGUAGAGGUGAAAUUCCAAUCGAACGCGGAGAUAGCUGGUUCUCCCCGAAAUAGCUUUAGGGCUAGCCUCAAGUAGUAAGUAUAGGCGGUAGAGCACUGAUCGGGCUAGGGGCCAUAAAGGUUACCGAACCCUGUCAAACUCCGAAUGGUUAUACUGUAGAGCUUGGGAGUCAGACUACGAGUGAUAAGAUCCGUGGUCAAAAGGGAAACAGCCCAGACCACCAGCUAAGGUCCCCAAUGUCGUACUAAGUGGAAAAGGAUGUGGGGUCUCUAAAACAACCAGGAUGUUGGCUUAGAAGCAGCCACCAUUUAAAGAGUGCGUAAUAGCUCACUGGUCGAGAGACCCUGCGCCGAAGAUUACCGGGGCUAAAGUACGAAACCGAAGCUGUGGCUACGACGUAAGUCGUGGGGUAGGGGAGCGUUCUGUGAGGGCUGAAGUCGUUCUGUAAGGAACGGUGGACUUCACAGAAGUGAGAAUGUUGGUAUGAGUAGCGAAAAGAAUGGUGAGAAUCCAUUCCACCGAAAGCAUAAGGAUUCCUGGGCAACGAUCGUCGUCCCAGGGUAAGUCGGGACCUAAUCCGAGGCAUGGAGCGUAGGAGAUGGACAACUGGCAGAUAUUCCAGUACCGGUAAUGAUUGUUUGAGCGAUGGAGUGACACAGGAGGGCAGGCAGGCAGGAGAUUGGUUGUUCCUGUACAAGCGUGUAGGGUGGAACGUAGGCAAAUCCGCGUUCUGUGAGCCUGAGGCGUGAUGUGGAGGUUCCGGAAACGGAACCGAAGCUGCUGACCCCACACUGUCGAGAAAAGCUUCUAGUUAGAGAAUUACCGCCCGUACCGUAAACCGACACAGGUAUGCGGGGAGAGAAUCCUAAGGUGCGCGGGAGAACCCUCGUUAAGGAACUCGGCAAAAUGUACCCGUAACUUCGGGAUAAGGGUAGCCGCUGUUGUGAAGUCUGAACAGAUGGAGCAUGAGGCGGUCGCAGAGAAGAGGCCCAAGCGACUGUUUACCACAAACACAGGUGCCUGCUAAAGAGAAAUCUGACGUAUAGGUGCUGACACCUGCCCAGUGCCGGAAGGUUAAGGAAGGAUGUCCGGAGCAAUCCAAAGCAUUCGACCGAAGCCCCGGUGAACGGCGGCCGUAACUAUAACGGUCCUAAGGUAGCGAAAUUCCUUGUCGGGUAAG
rnacentral:rRNA from 1 species